UCCCAUUGACACAGAGUCAACGCAACAGUUAAAAGAAGAAAGGUACUUUUUUUUUUUUACUCGCAUUUAGCAAUUUACUUGUUUUAUUUCUUAAAAUCAAAAUAAAAUCUGCAUCGUUGUCGAUUUAUUUCUUCUCGCUCAGUGAAUAUAUAUCUAACUCAGUUCAUUUGUUUUUGUACGGAAUGGUCCAUAGAAAUGAUGAGAGAAAUGAAUGGCAGAUUCUGCAUAAUUGCUUUUUUUUUAUAAUUAUUUUCUGUUAUUUUGUCUUUUUUGGUUGUUAAUUGAUUUGAGCUGAAAAUGGACAUAAUUAUAGUUGAAUUAUAGUGCAAUGUAACUGAAAGCUGGGGACCGGCGUUGAAUUGGUAAGCUGGUAGUGGGAUUUGGCCGACGUUGACUUGCUUUAACUCCUUUGCUUUUCAGGUACCUUAGAGUUUAGUCUUCUAUGGCCUGUUGGCUAGUCAUGUGUAGAGACUAAUGAAUUAAGAACUUUUUUCAAAACGAUACGAAUUUUUUGGGUAAUCUGCUUUAGAAAUGGAUGUAUCCUGUGGUUUGCUUUUCCAUGAUCAUAAUCAUAAAGACAUGUAAUUAAUUAAGUGAUGUCUUCAAUUCACGGAAAUACUUAUGGACGAGAAAGGGAAAUGACCUUUGAACGAGAAGGUGGUUGGGAAAUUAAUGUAUUUAUGGAUGCCACUUGACCACAAACAAGUAAUAGGAUAUAGCAGACUAACGGUAUUGCCAGGAAGUGAAUUUCAUAGAAUGCUUCCGUCAUUUCCUUUGCCUAGUUUAUAUAGCUUGUAUUUCUAUUUUUAGAGUUGAGAAAUCUGUCAUCUGUUUUAGAAUAUGUGUAAUCCUUACGAAGGUUUUGCCUUCAGUUUUCUCUUGGCAUCCUAAACAGAUUUGGUACAAGCCAAUGACUCUGUAAAAGCUUCAUAAGCUCAAUGACUGUUUCAUAUAAAAUUCAGGGCUACACUACCAGUGCAUGUAGUAUAAUUUUCAGGCACACAGUUGGCCUUCGGUUUGCAAAAUAUUUAUGUGUAUAGACUCUGUCACAAACUGCAUCUUAGGACACUUCGGAGUUAAUGGAAUCCUUAUGGAAGAAGCUGUUGGUAUUGGUUCUGUGCACUCAGCCUAAGAAACAUAGAAAAGCCCAUUGGAGGGGUUCAGCGUCCAAUGACUGAGCCAAAAAAUGUCAAUCUUGGCUCUCACAAGAUUCAUUUGCAAGAUUGAGGUAAUGCUAGCGCAACUGGAAUAUGUACUCAGAUGUGAUAGUUUAGAAACUGCGGCUGGACCUUAGCAUGGAGAUACUGGUGUGCUUCCAGUAUGAAGGUUUAAAUGCUUAACCAUAACUGUAAAAGAUUUUAAUAUAUAUUGUGCGGAACUAAUGUACUGAUGCUUAAUUCUAGCAUGAGAAAGCUAUUCAUCUACAGCACUUUAUUUGUUCAAAAUGAGUCCAAGCACUCAGAAUAAGACAAAAAAAAAAGGAUUCCAGAGAGAGAGAGAUAGGUGGUUGUUGCAUUUUUUAUCUGGUUCAAACCAAUCUCUUCCUCACCAUGUUUGUAGCUUCAUUGCUGGCAUUGAUCAUAAAAGUUGACCAGUCACAAUAUAGUAUGGAGCAACUACUAAUGUACUCAUAGACAUAGGCUGAAUUGUCUGCAUUUGGUUUUAAUAUGGUUUUAACACAAAUAGCUGUCCUCUAAAUUUCAUUCUACUUCUAUUGUUCCUCCACGAACAGGUGCGUGGAAAUAGAUUGAUAAAGCUAAUCCAAGGUAAUGUAUGUCAUAAUUAAACCAUAUUCUGCCACUUGUCUAAAUAAUGCCAUUUAUCUGGAAUUUUUUUCCCUUUUUCUGGCUAUCUUUGAUCUCAGUAAGGCAUUGAUGCCUUACAUCAUAAGAUGCACCCAGAUCAUGCAAUCCUUUCAUCACAUAACUUAAUUACUCUAUAAUUGAUUCUUUCACACUAUACUCUGUGAACAUAAUUGAUUCUGUUCAUCAUUCUCUGUAAGCAAAUUUGGUUACUGCUUGCAUUUUAUUAUUAGUUCAACUACUUUUGAGGACUGUUCGGCCACUAGUGUUGUUGGGUCUCCUACAUUUGAGCUUUUAAAGCUCUGAUGCGGACUUUUGUCGCUUGUUAGAUCAUAAUUAACAACUUCAUGUGUAUGCAGGCACAACUAUGAGCUAAUAAUUAAUAGCUCAGACAUAUCUGUUUUCUACCCUCAAGUUGUGAAGAAAAUAAUUCAAAUUCUGACAGUGGCCUGUCUAGUUCCUCUGAAAUAGAUUAUUUGGUUGGAGGGGUUAUAGAUUUCUUCUUAACAUUUUUAUAUUGGCUGCUUAGCUACUUUGCUGUGUCCACUAGCAAGACUCUAAUAUAGGUAACUGAAUGCUAUGCACCUAUUAAACUGAGUCAUGCCCUUCUCAAGUCUCAACCACGAUUGCGACUUCCUUUUGGGUGUCCUGCUUGAACCCUAUUAUUUUAGGACUUCAAUGUCAGAUGAUCUGUAUCUUAAGCUACAUGCACUGCAUCAGCCAUGCUAUAAUUUGGAAAUCUUGUUCUCUUUCUGGAUUCAUUUCUUUUGAUGAUAAUGACAAAACACCAGGUACAUUUUAUAGUGUAUUGAACAACUAUAUUGUUAUAUGGAGCUCUUCUUUAUUGAUACGGUUGAAUCAUGAUCAUUAAUCAGCUUCUUUUUACUAUGCUUAGCACAAGUUAACUCAUUUUCAUCGGCAAUCCUCUCAAAGUUAUAGAAGCUAAAAUAUCUUGUUAUUCUGGCCAUGCAGCUUCUUAGACAACGAAUGCUGAUUUAGCAAAUACAAAAAACAAGUAAAGUUCAUCUGUUGUACUUUUGACCAUUGUCCUGGUUGUCAGUUGUAAGAGGCUUAACAAAGAUUGUGAUGAUUGUAAAACAAUCUUGAAGUGUAAAUUCUUAAUAAUCUUUGAAGUCAAAAAUGCAAUUUGGAAAUUAACCCAUAUUCUUCGUCAAACACUCUUUAUAACAUGUCAACUGCACAUAGUUUGACUACUGUGCUUUCUGUUUCCCAGUCCUGUUCUUCUUCACCCAACUCCCUUGUUUUAUUUUAUUUUUUUUAAUAUUUAAAUUGGCUUGUUUUGGAUUUUUGUAGCUUACAUUUUUCUCAAUACUUCAUUAUUUUCCUUCUUGUAGCGUUUUAUAUUGUCGAAUAUGUCUUCUUUUGUCUCUUUUUUAUUUCUUUUUCCCUUAAUUUCCAGGUUUUCAACCUCAGCUUCUGAAUUCUAAAAAUGGAGGUCAACAUGCUGGAAAUAAGGUGACAUCUCCACGCUGAAAUUAAGUCAAAUUUUCUCAAUAGGUCAUCUUGAAACUGAUCAUAUCAAUAUGGAAAAAUGAUGUUCUUGAUUUAGCUACUCUCUCAUUAGGUUCCUUUCGAUAUUUCUUUAAAAUGAAUAUCAAAUUUCUUAACAAACAACUCUAUUUAACAUACCAUCAAUAUCUGAAAUCUGGUUUAUUGCUAGUCGUGACCCCACCCCUGCAAAAAAAUUGUCUAUGCUACUUUCGAAAAUAGGCUACUUUCUUGCAUCAACCAUUCUCGCUUUGCACACUUGUAAGACUCUAUCUAGUGAUAUCCGUGACUAUACAACCUGUACCCAUCAAACUAAGACAGAGUUGUGCCCUCUCAACCAAGAUGAAGAAGGUCUUUUUUGCAUGUAUAUAGACUCUAACGUCAGAUGAAAGAUGCUGAGUAAACCAAGUUAAUAUAAUUUGGCAUUUUUUCCCCUUUUUUCCCGGCCAUUUUUCUUUAACAAAAUGGCUCAACGACAGCUACAAAGUUCCUUUGGCAUAACACCCAUUGAACAGCUAUUUUGCUUGUUUCUUGAUGGGGAUGUAUCAUGAUCUUUUAUCAGGUUCCCUUGACCAUGCUUGACACAGGCUUUAACUUACUUUCAUUUACCAGUCUCUCACCAUUGUACAAGCCACAGAAUCUUGCUUUUCUAAUCCUGCAGCUUUUAAGAUGAUUUUGAUGAUUUUGCAUAUACAGAAACUAUUAAGGUUCAUUUGUCAUGCCUCUGACCACUGGCCUUGAUCAUAAAGGGUUCACUCUUAACAUAGUCAAGAAUUCAAUUUGGAAAUUAGUCCAAAUUCUUUUCAACUAUUUAUCAACCUUCUUGCUAUGAUUGAAAUUGACCACAGCAUUUUUUUUUCUCAUUUUAAUUUUUCAGUUUGUAGUCUUCUCUUGAAGAUUUUUUUUUUUUUUAUGCCGGUGGGAGGUUGGGCUUGCGUUUACAUAGCUCUAUUCUAGAGAUGAAGUGAAUAAACUUCUUAGCUAUUUUUUUCAUUUUGGAUGUGCAGAACUUAUAUUUUUCUUCGUACUAUUUGCUAUUCCCAUUGUAACUAUUUCAUAUUGGCACAGGAUAUUCUUUUUAAUUAUUUACUUGUUCAUCUUUGCGUUGUCCUUAAUUUCUGAUUUUCAACCUUAGCUAUUGAAUUCUACAAAGACAAAUAUUCAAAGGGUUGGAAAUUCGGUGAAGGUGAUACCUCAAAGCUGAAUUAAUUAAGUAAAAUUCUCUAAAUUAAUCUGUCAUCUGGAAAUUGAUUACAUCAAUGUGGCAAAUUGACGUCCACAACUUAGUAUGACCAAUCCCCUAUUUGGUCUCUUCAUUGACUUUUGUAGAACCAGCUCCUAGUUUACGUUUCUUAAUUAACAAUUCUAUUUUACAUGCCAUUAAAUAUUUUGCAUAUGGCUUUAUUACAUUCAUGACCUCUUGACGAGAAAAAAUUAUCUAUGCUACUUAUGAAGGUAAAACACUGUCAUACAUGUCCCUUUUCACUUGGGACAAGCAUUAGACUUCAUGUAAUGAGGCUGCAUGGUGGAGCCGCAGGCCAUGGCUUCACUCACGGCCAAUUCAGCUGCUCCCAAUCCCAUAGAGGUGGCUGAGGAUCAGCAACAAUGUUCCAGUUGUUGUCUAAGUUAGUCUCUGGAUAAUCAGAGUGGUCUUCUCCGGAGUAUGAAGUUUCGGGCGAGCUUGAUCUUGGCCCCAUUAUGUUGUUCUGAGCAGAUGUUGUGGCCACAUCACCAUCACACAUUAUGGCGUCUUGAAAAGAUGUGUUGGAUCCAUUACCACGAACCAUUAUGUUGUUUGGUGCAG
rnacentral:lncRNA from 1 species